GGAUUUGAGGGUGAGCGGGCUUGAAUGUCUGUCACCAAAUUGGUUGUUGGAUUUGAUCCUUCAGGGUGGGCUGAGUGGCAUUGCCUUCCUCCUUCACUGCUCCUUGAGCACACUUCCUAAAUUUGCACACUGGGUCUAAGGACCAGGUGAGGUCGCAUCAAGGAUAUCCAAGUACGAAGUGUCUCUCGGAGACAGAACACUCCGGAAAAUCUGUUUGUGAGGAGUAAUUU
rnacentral:sRNA from 1 species